GCCGGUGGCCUUGUGGUUAGAGCGUCCGCCUCGGAUGCGGGAGGUCGUAGGUUCGAGUCAUAUCAAAGACU